rnacentral:rRNA from 1 species
GCUCAGGAUGAACGCUAGCUACAGGCUUAACACAUGCAAGUCGAGGGGUAGCAGGGUAGCAAUACCGCUGACGACCGGCGCACGGGUGAGUAACACGUAUCCAACCUUCCCAUAACUCAGGGAUAGCCUUUCGAAAGAAAGAUUAAUACCUGAUAGUACUUAAGAAAGGCAUCUUUUUUAAGUUAAAGAUUUAUUGGUUAUGGAUGGGGAUGCGUUCCAUUAGAUAGUUGGUGAGGUAACGGCUCACCAAGUCUUCGAUGGAUAGGGGUUCUGAGAGGAAGGUCCCCCACAUUGGUACUGAGACACGGACCAAGCUCCUACGGGAGGCAGCAGUGAGGAAUAUUGGUCAAUGGGCGAGAGCCUGAACCAGCCA